GACGAACGCUGGCGGCGUGCCUAAUACAUGCAAGUCGAACGGACAGGCCCUGCUUUUGCGGGUUGCUCGAUUGGCGAACGGGUGCGUGACACGUGAGUAUACUGCCCUUGACUUUGGGAUAACUUCAGGGAACUCGGGCUAAUACCGGAUAGGAGCUCCUGCUGCAUGGUGGGGGUUGGAGAGUGACGGCUGUGGUGGAUGGACUCGCGGCUUACCCGCUUGUUGGUCGGGUAGUGGCUUACCAAGGCUUCGACGGCUAGCCGGCCUGGGAGGGUGACCGGCCACAUGGGGACUGCGAUACGGCCCAGACUCCUACGGGAGGCAGCAGUGGGGAACAUUGCACAAUGGGCGGAAGCCUGAUGCAGCAACGCCGCGUGCGGGAUGACGGCCUUCUGGUUGUAAACCGCUUUGGCAGGUGAUGAAGCGUGAGUGACGGUAAUGAGUAAAGAAGCACCGGCUAACUACGUG
rnacentral:rRNA from 1 species